rnacentral:rRNA from 1 species
GAUGAACGCUGGCGGCGUGCCUAAUACAUGCAAGUCGAGCGAACGGACGAGAAGCUUGCUUCUCUGAUGUUAGCGGCGGACGGGUGAGUAACACGUGGAUAACCUACCUAUAAGACUGGGAUAACUUCGGGAAACCGGAGCUAAUACCGGAUGAUAUUUUGAACCGCAUGGUUCAAAAGUGAAAGACGGUCUUGCUGUCACUUAUAGAUGGAUCCGCGCUGCAUUAGCUAGUUGGUAAGGUAACGGCUUACCAAGGCAACGAUGCAUAGCCGACCUGAGAGGGUGGUCGGCCCCACUGGAACUGAGACCCGGUCCAGCCCCCUACGGGGGGACGCAGUAGGGAAUCUUCCGAAAUGGGCGAAAGCCUGACGGAGCAACGCCGCGUGAGUGAUGAAGGUCUUCGGAUCGUAAAACUCUUUUAUUAGGGAAGAACAUAUGUGUAAGUAACUGUGCACAUCUUGACGGUACCAAAUCAGAAAGCCCCGGCUAACUACGU